ensembl:lncRNA novel transcript, sense intronic to ZNF155
CAGAAAAGUAGGGCCUGCAGUCUUGUGGGGUUUUCUUAAACUAUCACCAGAUAAUAGUUCAUCUCUAAGAUAAUUAUUUGUAAAAGAAAAUUCAUCAGAUUACAUUUUUAAAUAUUUUUAUAAUAAAAAAUACCAUAGGUAGGCCUUCCAUCUACCCUCGUGUGUGUCUGGGUCCUCAAAUUGGUCACAGGAUGAUAUUAACAGCUGAUUUGUUUUUAUUGUUCAUAUUUAUGUCUCACAGACUGCAUGAGUAUUUGACUCCCAAUAAAACUGAAUAUUGAAUACCUA